rnacentral:rRNA from 1 species
GAUGAACGCUGGCGGCGUGCCUAAUACAUGCAAGUCGAGCGAACGGACGAGAAGCUUGCUUCUCUGUGGUUAGCGGCGGACGGGUGGGUAACACGUGGAUAACCACCCUAUAAGACUGGGAUAAUUUCGGAAAACCGGAGCUAAUCCCGGAUAAUAUUUUGACCCGCAUGGUUCAAAAUUGAAAGACGGUCUUGCUGUCACUUAUAGAUGAAUCCGCGCUGCAUUAGCUAGUUGGUAAGGUAACGGCUUACAAAGGCAACGAUGCAUAGCCGACCUGAGAGGGUGAUCGGCCACACUGGAACUGAGACACGGUCCAGACUCCUACGGGAGGCAGCAGUAGGGAAUCUUCCGCAAUGGGCGAAAGCCUGACGGAGCAACGCCGCGUGAGUGAUGAAGGUCUUCGGAUCGUAAAACUCUGUUAUUAGGGAAGAACAUAUGUGUAAGUAACUGUGCACAUCUUGACGGUACCUAAUCAGAAAGCCACGGCUAACUACGUG